rnacentral:misc_RNA from 1 species
GGCAAAGCCGGUGGGGGCUUUGCCUUACGGGCCGAAGAGAUCGUCGCGGGUGAACUCGAUGCUUCAGCGCCAAUGCGCGUCAUUGUCGAGACACUCAUGCAGGCUCGAAUGGCAAUCCUCGAUCGCAUCAAGGGUUUCGAUCGCCAGGGACUGAUGAUUGCCAAGAAGAAUCCGGCAGCACGCUUGUUUAUGACAGGCGCGAUCACAGCUCUCUCGGUUGCGUCGGUCUUCGAUGAUGUCGAGCGCUUCAAGCGAUC